rnacentral:lncRNA from 1 species
CAAUAUUAAUUAUUAUUUAAUUAUUUGUUGUAUUUUUUGACUUAUUUAUUUUUUUGUUAAUUUAUUUAUAAUUUGUUAUGUUUUUUAUAUUUGUAUAUUAAACCACAUUUUAGAUAGCAUCAUUACUUCAUCAUCUGUGCAUAAAAUUUUUUUAGUUUCAUUUAAUACAAAGUGUAUCAUGGGAAACUUCGAGAUGCAGCU